CCCCAGGUGAGAAGCAUACUGAAAGGCAGACUACCAUGUUUUUCCAGUUACAUUUGCCAAUUGUCUGUAGCUGCCUUAGAUAUGAGAUGCACAGGAUUUCCUUGGAACAUAGGUUUUCAAAGAACAAAAUAAUUUUACACAGAACUCAAGCUGUGAAGCUACUGAAUCAAUGCAAAUGGCUGGUGACUGUAAAUAUGGUGAAGUAGCUUAUGUUGAGACAACGCAAUUUGCUGAAGACAUCAUCUCCUUUGCAAAACAUUACACAUGACUAUGAAAAAGGCCAAGAAUGAAGGUGUAUUUAUAUCAAUUAACACUUCAUAGACAACAGGUCCAGUGCUUACUGUUUCACAGACAUGAAAAUGAAUUUAUUAGUAGCUGGCCUUGGAUUGUUACUAUAUAGCACUGUGAUGCCAAUAGAUAAUAAAUUCUUACUAAAUAAAUAUGUAAUCAAAUGAA